GAGUCGGACCUGCCCGGUGAAUAAUUUUUAACGGCCGCGGUACUCUGACCGUGCAAAGGUAGCAUAAUCAUUUGCCCUAUAAUUGAGGGCUAGUAUGAAUGGUUUGACGUGAACAAAGCUGUCUCUGUAUAAUUUUUUAGAACUUGAUUUUUAGGUGAAGAAACCUAAAUAAUAUUGAAAGACAAGAAGACCCUAUUGAGCUUUAAAGAAGUAAGUUGAGAACGACAAUAUAAAUCUAAAUGUUAAUCUACUUAAAAUUUUGGUUGGGGCGACUAUGGAACAAAUAAAGCUUCUUUACUAUUAAAAAACCAGCAAGUUUUGAUCCAGAAAUUUUGAUUAAUGGAAUUAGUUACCAUAGGGAUAACAGCAUAAUUCUCUUUGAGAGCUCUUAUCGAAAAGAGAGUUUGUGACCUCGAUGUUGGACUAGAAUAUCCUAAAGAUGUAGCAGUCUUUAAGGGUUGGUC
rnacentral:rRNA from 1 species